GCCAAGGUUUUUUUAAAAACCACUCAAAGCUUGUCUUUCUAUUAUU
rfam:Absidia repens strain NRRL 1336 BCR42scaffold_3, whole genome shotgun sequence.